AGUAAUGCAUAGGAAUCUGCCCGGUAGUGGGGGAUAACCUGGGGAAACCCAGGCUAAUACCGCAUACGUCCUACGGGAGAAAGCAGGGGAUCUUCGGACCUUGCGCUAUCGGAUGAGCCUAUGUCGGAUUAGCUUGUUGGUGAGGUAAUGGCUCACCAAGGCGACGAUCCGUAGCUGGUCUGAGAGGAUGAUCAGCCACAUCGGGACUGAGACACGGCCCGAACUCCUACGGGAGGCAGCAGUGGGGAAUAUUGGACAAUGGGCGAAAGCCUGAUCCAGCCAUGCCGCGUGUGUGAAGAAGGCUUUCGGGUUGUAAAGCACUUUCAGUGAGGAAGAAGGCCUUGGGGCUAAUACCCCCGAGGAAGGACAUCACUCACAGAAGAAGCACCGGCUAACUCCGUGCCAGCAGCCGCGGUAAUACGGAGGGUGCGAGCGUUAAUCGGAAUUACUGGGCGUAAAGCGCGCGUAGGCGGCGUGAUAAGCCGGUUGUGAAAGCCCCGGGCUCAACCUGGGAACGGCAUCCGGAACUGUCAGGCUAGAGUGCAGGAGAGGAAGGUAGAAUUCCCGGUGUAGCGGUGAAAUGCGUAGAGAUCGGGAGGAAUACCAGUGGCGAAGGCGGCCUUCUGGACUGACACUGACGCUGAGGUGCGAAAGCGUGGGUAGCAAACAGGAUUAGAUACCCUGGUAGUCCACGCCGUAAACGAUGUCGACUAGCCGUUGGGGUCCUUGAGACCUUUGUGGCGCAGUUAACGCGAUAAGUCGACCGCCUGGGGAGUACGGCCGCAAGGUUAAAACUCAAAUGAAUUGACGGGGGCCCGCACAAGCGGUGGAGCAUGUGGUUUAAUUCGAUGCAACGCGAAGAACCUUACCUACCCUUGACAUCGUGCGAACUUUCCAGAGAUGGAUUGGUGCCUUCGGGAACGCACAGACAGGUGCUGCAUGGCUGUCGUCAGCUCGUGUUGUGAAAUGUUGGGUUAAGUCCCGUAACGAGCGCAACCCUUGUCCCUAUUUGCCAGCGAUUCGGUCGGGAACUCUAGGGAGACUGCC
rnacentral:rRNA from 1 species